CUCCAGUUGCUAACUUCAUAAUGGAGUCACAAAGACUGGAAUUAAUCAGACUAAUGGAGACCCAAGAGGAAGAUGUGGUCCUACUAACUGCUGGAGAGCACAAUAAAGCAAAAAAGUUUCAGAGUUCAGCUUCAAAGCUAAAUGUAAUCCCCCAUCUCCCCUUCCCCUACAAUAGUAAAAUGAAGAAAGCUAUUUAUUUCCAAAUUUUAUUAUGAAUGCAUUUCUUAAAAAAGAACAUGGGAUUUUGUUCCAAACUAAUUUGGCUAUUAAACCUUCUCUUGGUAUGAACUAAA
rnacentral:sRNA from 1 species